rnacentral:rRNA from 1 species
UACGUAGGUGGCAAGCGUUAUCCGGAAUUAUUGGGCGUAAAGCGCGCGCAGGCGGUCCUUUAAGUCUGAUGUGAAAGCCCACGGCUCAACCGUGGAGGGUCAUUGGAAACUGGGGGACUUGAGUACAGAAGAGGAAAGCGGAAUUCCAAGUGUAGCGGUGAAAUGCGUAGAGAUUUGGAGGAACACCAGUGGCGAAGGCGGCUUUCUGGUCUGUAACUGACGCUGAGGCGCGAAAGCGUGGGGAGCAAACAGG